UACGUAGGGUGCAAGCGUUAAUCGGAAUUACUGGGCGUAAAGCGUGCGCAGGCGGUGAUGUAAGACAGUUGUGAAAUCCCCGGGCUUAACCUGGGAAUGGCAUUGGUGACUGCACGGCUAGAGUGUGUCAGAGGGGGGUAGAAUUCCACGUGUAGCAGUGAAAUGCGUAGAGAUGUGGAGGACUACCGAUGGCGAAGGCAGCCCCCCUGGGAUAACACUGACGCUGAGGCACGAAAGCGUGGGGAGCAAACAGG
rnacentral:rRNA from 1 species